rnacentral:rRNA from 1 species
UACGAAGGGGGGCUAGCGUUGCUCGGAAUCACUGGGCGUAAAGCGCACGUAGGCGGAUCUUUAAGUCAGGGGUGAAAUCCCAAGGCUCAACCUUGGAACUGCCUUUGAUACUGGGGAUCUCGAGUCCGGAAGAGGUUGGUGGAACUGCGAGUGUAGAGGUGAAAUUCGUAGAUAUUCGCAAGAACACCAGUGGCGAAGGCGGCCAACUGGUCCGGAACUGACGCUGAGGUGCGAAAGCGUGGGGAGCAAACAGG